GACGAACGCUGGCGGCGUGCUUAACACAUGCAAGUCGAGCGGUAAGGCCCUUUCGGGGGUACACGAGCGGCGAACGGGUGAGUAACACGUGGGCGACCUGCCCUCAGCCCUGGGAUAAGCCUGGGAAACUGGGUCUAAUACCGGAUAUGACUCCAUGACGCAUGUUGUGGGGUGGAAAGCCUUGUGCGGCUGAGGAUGGGCCCGCGGCCUAUCAGCUUGUUGGUGGGGUGAUGGCCUACCAAGGCGACGACGGGUAGCCGGCCUGAGAGGGCGACCGGCCACACUGGGACUGAGACACGGCCCAGACUCCUACGGGAGGCAGCAGUGGGGAAUCUUGCGCAAUGGGCGAAAGCCUGACGCAGCGACGCCGCGUGAGGGAUGACGGCCU
rnacentral:rRNA from 1 species